rnacentral:rRNA from 1 species
ACGCUCGACACCUACGGAGGCAGCAGUUGGGAAUAUUGGACAAUGGAGGAAACUCUGAUCCAGUGACGCCGCGUGAAGGAAGAAGGUCUUCGGAUUGUAAACUUAUUUUGUCAGGGAAGAAAAAUGACUGUACCUGAAGAAAAAGCACCGGCUAACUACGUGCCACAGCCGCGGUAAUCUGAGCGGGCUGGCAAGGC